rnacentral:rRNA from 1 species
ACAGUGGCGAACGGGUGCGUAACGCGUAGAUAACCUGCCCACAGGCGCGGGACAACCACGGGAAACCGUGGCUAAUACCGCACGUCGUCUGGAGCCCGCAUGGGCACCAGAUGAAACCCUGCGAGGGGGCCUUUGGAUGGGUCUGCGUCGGAUUAGCUUGUUGGUGAGGUAACGGCUCACCAAAGUGACGAUCCGUAGCUGGUCUGAGAGGACGAUCAGCCACACUGGGACUGAGACACGGCCCAGACUCCUACGGGAGGCAGCAGUGGGGAAUCUUGCACAAUGGGGGAAACCCUGAUGCAGCCAUGCCGCGUGGAGGAAGACACCCCUAUGGGGCGUAAACUCCUUUUCUGAGAGAAGAAACCUCUGUAGGUUCAGAGUGUGACGGUAUCUCAGGAAUAAGCACCGGCUAACUCCGU